rnacentral:rRNA from 1 species
GACGAACGCUGGCGGCGUGCCUAAUACAUGCAAGUUGAGCGCUGAAGGUUGGUACUUGUACCAACUGGAUGAGCAGCGAACGGGUGAGUAACGCGUGGGGAAUCUGCCUUUGAGCGGGGGACAACAUUUGGAAACGAAUGCUAAUACCGCAUAAAAACUUUAAACACAAGUUUUAAGUUUGAAAGAUGCAAUUGCAUCACUCAAAGAUGAACCCGCGUUGUAUUAGCUAGUUGGUGAGGUAAAGGCCCACCAAGGGGAUGAUACAUAGCCGACCAGAGAGGGGGGUCCGCCCACUUGGGACUGGAGCCACGCCCAAAACCCCUCGGGAGGGAGCAGGAGGGAAUCUUCGGCAAUGGAGGAAAGUCUGACCGGGCAACGCCGCGGGAGUGAAGAAGGGUUUCGGAUCGUAAAACUCUGUUGGUAGAGAAGAACGUUGGUGAGAGUGGAAAGCUCAUCAAGUGACGGUAACUACCCAGAAAGGGACGGCUAACUACGUG